GGACACUUGGAGGGGAGAAAACUCAAGGGAGGGACUGAUUUCCCAGAGGACAAUCCAUUUUCCAGUGACCCUACUGUCCACAGUUGGGACAUGGCCUUGUAGGAAGCCCGAGAAAAGGGCAAGCUUUUGUUUAGUGGCCCAGAUUGCUGUAGUGAACCGUCCCUAGCAAGGAGAAGGAAACAAGAGGAUAAGAUCAGUAUUUGAGAAAGAAAGAUGAAGGCAAACAGGCCCCUCAACACCUGCUACCUCAUGGAGGGGCUGAUAAAUUAUCAAGAUCUCAGAGAAUUUGGAUAUUGAAAGUACCCUCAGCUGGCCAGCAUAACCCAUUAUGCCAACAUCCUGAUUUCUGAGAAGACAUAAAUCAGUCCAGAGCAACCGAGGACACAGAUUCUCCCCUGAAGCAUCUAAGAGGAAUGGAGCCUUGC
ensembl:lncRNA